rnacentral:tRNA from 2 species
GGUCUUGUGGUCUAGAGGUAUGAUUCUCGCUUAGGGACAACCCGAAGCCAAUUGCGAGAGGCCCCGCGUUCGAAUCGCGGCAAGACCC